GUGGGGAAUAUUGGACAAUGGGCGCAAGCCUGAUCCAGCCAUGCCGCGUGAGUGAUGAAGGCCUUAGGGUUGUAAAGCUCUUUCAGUGGGGACGAUAAUGACGGUACCCACAGAAGAAGCCCCGGCUAACUUCGUGCCAGCAGCCGCGGUAAUACGAAGGGGGCUAGCGUUGUUCGGAUUUACUGGGCGUAAAGCGCACGUAGGCGGAUCGUUAAGUCGGGGGUGAAAUCCUGGAGCUCAACUCCAGAACUGACUUCGAUACUGGCGAUCUUGAGUCCGGAAGAGGUGAGUGGAACUCCUAGUGUAGAGGUGGAAUUCGUAGAUAUUAGGAAGAACACCAGUGGCGAAGGCGGCUCACUGGUCCGGUACUGACGCUGAGGUGCGAAAGCGUGGGGAGCAAACAGGAUUAGAAACCCUAGUAGUCC
rnacentral:rRNA from 1 species